GAUCCUGGCUCAGAUUGAACGCUGGCGGCAUGCCUUACACAUGCAAGUCGAACGGCAGCACGGGGGCAACCCUGGUGGCGAGUGGCGAACGGGUGAGUAAUACAUCGGAACGUGUCCUGUAGUGGGGGAUAGCCCGGCGAAAGCCGGAUUAAUACCGCAUACGAUCUGUGGAUGAAAGCGGGGGCUCCUUCGGGACCUCGCGCUACAGGGGCGGCCGAUGGCAGAUUAGCUAGUUGGUGGGGUAAAGGCCUACCAAGGCGACGAUCUGUAGCUGGUCUGAGAGGACGACCAGCCACACUGGGACUGAGACACGGCCCAGACUCCUACGGGAAGGCAGCAGUGGGGAAUUUUGGACAAUGGGCGAAAGCCUGAUCCAGCAAUGCCGCGUGUGUGAAGAAGGCCUUCGGGUUGUAAAGCACUUUUGUCCGGAAAGAAAACCUCGUGGUUAAUACCCGUGGGGGAUGACGGUACCGGAAGAAUAAGCACCGGCUAACUACGUGCCAGCAGCCGCGGUAAUACG
rnacentral:rRNA from 1 species